UGGGGGUCAUCACUUUGCCGGUCCAGAGGACUGAUUUGAUGUCCUUGAUUGUCAUUCGCAGGGAACUCCCUCCCAGCCCCCUUGCCCGCUGGGGGGGACAGAGACUAACAGAUCCCUGGGAUGGGCGAUGCCAGCUGAGCAGGUCCACCUAUUAUUAGUGCUGCCUGAUUGGAUAGCGGAGGCAGCAUCCCCGCCUCUCAGCCAAUCAGGCAGCCAGGGCUGGGGGAUGAUGGGCUGCCUCUCACUGGAGGGAUUCCUGGAGAAGCUGCAGUGUGGUGAUGCUCUACAAGCUGCACAGCCCCCAGUAUCUCUCCUCCUCCUCCACCGCCCAGCCAGCAGCAGCUGAAACUUAACACCCAACACAAAGCGAACCCCACUGAGAGCAGGGGACUAUAGAAACCUGCUGGUGGAUGUGGGAGGUCUGCCACACACACACACAUCUUUUUGUAUUGCAGUCUCCUCCCAUGAGAGGCAGAGAGAGCGUGUGAUUGCUACUAGACAAGGAGGCGAGAGCACUGAAGGACAAACAGACUCCUCCUGCCCUGGUUGCCAGAAACCUGGAAUCCUGAACAAAGAAAAGAUUUGGUCACAGAAUCUGUAUUCUGAACAGCCCAUCCACAGAGCUCCUCGAGGGACUUCUUCACUUUUGGGGAGCUACGGAGGAGAAUGCUGUGGACAUGCAGACCUCUCCCUUCAUGUCUGUGGCCCGUUCUCUCCUGCUAUGUUCUCUUUUGCCUUGUCAAGAGGAGAAGACCCUGUUACUCUGAAUAAGGAAUACAAAAUCUAGCCUUUGGUAAUUUGUACUCUAUACAGAACCUGUGUUGCCAGGCUUUUUCUUACAGUGGGCAUCAUUUACAAAUUUAACAUUUGCUAUUCUGCAGUUAUUGUCAUGCUGCAAAAUCUGCUAUCCUAAAUGCAGUUAUUGCAGGUAUUGAAACUGUGUUUCCAAGGGUGCCCACAAUAUGCAAGCCCAAACAUGGGUGGAAGGCUCAGUUAUUGUUGCUGCUUAAUAUAUAUCAAGCCUUUUAUUUUUUUGUAAAUAGAUAACUAUUGAGGUGGCUUUCAAGAGACAUACUCUCCCCAAUGUCAAUAGUGUAUCAGUUUAAUACAUCCUGUAUCUUUAAUUGGAAGAACAAAUCCUGAUACUGUAUCAGAAUGUUUUUCAAAUCUUCUCCUGUUCCUCAUUUCAGAAUACAGAACAACCUUGUAGCAUAUGCAAUAAAAUUCAGAGAGCUGAAAGCA
rnacentral:lncRNA from 1 species